CGGUGUGGCUUGUUUAGGAUAGGUGGGAGACUUUGAAGCUUGGACGCCAGUUCAGGUGGAGUCAUUGUUGAAAUACCACUCUGGUCACUCUGGAUAUCUAACUUAGAACCGUAAUCCGGUUCAGGGACAGUGCCUGAUGGGUAGUUUAACUGGGGCGGUUGCCUCCCAAAAUGUAACGGAGGCGCCCAAAGGUUCCCUCAGCCUGGUUGGCAAUCAGGUGUCGAGUGUAAGUGCACAAGGGAGCUUGACUGUGAGACAGACAUGUCGAGCAGGGACGAAAGUCGGGACUAGUGAUCUGACGGUGGCUUGUGGAUGCGCCGUCACUCAACGGAUAAAAGGUACCCCGGGGAUAACAGGCUGAUCUUGCCCGAGCGCUCAUAGCGACGGCAUGGUUUGGCACCUCGA
rnacentral:rRNA from 11 species